AGAGGUGGACGUGUUGGACCCCGGGUCUGGACUCAGCGUGAAGAGAGACGGGUCUUCACUGGGCGAAAUCGUGCUGAGAGGUGGGUGCAUCAUGUUGGGUUACCUGAAAGACCCAAAGGGAACCUCCAAGUCCCUGACCGAUGAUGGGUGGUUCUUCACCGGAGACGUCGGAGUGAUGCACUCAGACGGGUACUUAGAGAUCAAGGACCGAUCCAAGGACGUG
rnacentral:lncRNA from 1 species